rnacentral:tRNA from 1 species
UCCUUCAUGGCUUAGUGGUAGAGUGUAACAUUGUGGCUGUUGAGGCGUGAGUUCGAUUCUCACUGAGGGAA